UCCCCUUGGCUGGGCAAAGGGAGCAGGUUACAUGUCACCACGAUGCUAGACCGGGCAGGGCAGUUGCAGCCUGUGUUAUGUCUGCGUGUCUCGUCCUGUGUGUCUUAGCCCUUCCUCGGGUCUCAACGCCCUCUUUGCGCUCGAGGGGCACGGCAUGCUUCUCGGGUGCCGUCCCUAGGCUCUCGAACGCCGGUACUUGUCAGCGUACCGCCAAUCGGGCGCUUCUUUUCUCGCAUAGCGAGCUUACGGCGUGGAUCAUUCUUGCGUGUCGGAAGUUUCUGGAGGGUCCUCUAUUUGCAGCGCUAUACCAGGCUGCGUCCGGAGCUCUGCUCUCCAGCUAUCCAUUUUCAGGGACUGGGUCUUCCUCCCUGCAUCCUUACCUCCUUAGGUCUUGAAGACGGGCUUCUUGCUGCCCCCAUCAUCUCGGUUUUGACAGUAACUUCUUAUAACGGGCCAUUUACGGUCAAUUCUCUUCUGGGGUUGCCAUAGAGCUUCCUCACCCGGGCGUCGUGCCCUAUAGGUCGCCUUGUUCGGCAGCCUCUCCGGUCCGGGAGUCAUUCCUCUCUCUAAGAGUGUUCUCUCGUUUGUGAGUCGCGUUGUUUGUAGCGUUCUGUGUAGCGUCUGUCUCUGUGUGUGGUGUGUGUGUGUGUGGAGCUGCUCUGCCCAGGGCUGUCGAGUCGGGGACAGGCGGAAUAGCAAUAGGAGCGUACGGUUAGCGUGCCGAUACGGCCCGUCCGGAAUUGUUUGGCUCUCACUCGGCAUCUGGGUGACUUGUUUGAUAACUCGGUGUGAUUUUUCCAGAUGCGGACUGGCUAGAUGCCCAACGACGAGCGGCAGAGGAGGAGAGCAGAGCGCCGUAAGAAGGUGGCGGUCAGGCCUCGGCACGGCAGGCCGAAGAAUCCGACUCCGAGCGGCCGAGGAAAAGGGACAGGCGAGAGGAAGGCGUUUCCAAGGAGGGCUUCGUCGCAGCGGAGGUCGACGCCGGGCGGCACGUCGUCGACGGCGACGCUCUGUCUCGUGAGGGAUGAAGCGGAACCUGGCGGAUGGGGGAGCCUCCCGGUUAGAUGACCUUUUCCCCAUGAGAAGGGAAUCUGGAUUCUGCCCUCUGAAAGGUCUCUAGGUUCUGCCGCACGUGCUCGGCGAGCAUCCGCGGGGUCCGCGACGCCUCGUCGCUUCGGAAUACGGCCCGUCGAGCGUUUCUCGUCUCGCGAUCGGAGCUUAAAGCGCACCUCGCAUCGCAGAUGUUUCUGCGAGGUGGCCUUUGUGGAGGUGGUCCGUGCCGGACUCACAGUCGUGCUCUAGAAACUUCUGCCUCAAUUGAAGUUUGAUACCAUCUUUCAUCCCUGUAUGCUGUGGGAUGCCGGACUAGUCUAGUCUUGUUGGUGCCGAAUACAGGGCCAUUUUGACCCAGCAGAAGGGGCCUGGGGGAGUCCAGCUUGGGCGAGAGCAGGGAUUGAGCAACUUGCUUAUCUUGCACUGAUAAGCACCGGACCUGAACAGGGGCAGGAGAUGAGCAAUUUGUUCAUCUUAACAAGAUGCGGCGUCUGACGGGUCUACUCCUUAAUCAACUAAGUGACGCCUGGGGUGAGGGGGAGCCUCCUUCGCAGCUCGACCUUACUUUGGUAAAACUAAACAGACCACCGCUCCUCUGUACUGAACACGUUUGUUCUCCGCCACUUCCCCCCCCAGCCCCGACCAACUGCACAACAAGCCUUGUUAAGGGCCAAUCGGCACACAAUACCUGACUUAGUCCCGCCUCGCCAAAAGUAUAAAUCUGGCAUUCAGAAUCCUCUUUUUUGAGGACGAGAACUCCAACUAUCCGGACGGGUUGACGGGCCUGGACCUCUCUCUCUCCUCCCCAAGCAGGGACGCCUCUUUGGUAAGACUUGCGCCUCCGAUUAUGUCGGAUGUUACCCUGGGAAAACUAUCAUUGACAAAAGCGCUGAACUAUUAACUUGAGCUCAAAAUUGUUGCAGUAAGUGCAUUUAUCAACGGCAGUUCCAAACUUUUUAUAUCUGUCGCCUCAAUAAACUACCUAUUUUUCUUUUCAACUUUGCGAAACUGUUUCAGUGAAAGUCCUUAGUGGGGCUCUGACAGGCAAACGUUGACUCUGAUAUGUGGCUACACACAUAAUCCUUUAGAUGUAAACCGUUGACCAAGUCUGGGACUAAGACUGGACCUAGCCGCACCUAGGCUCCUCUCUGCGAAGGAGUUUAGAAAGCAAGGGGGUCCUUUCUGAACCUCGUGACUCAAUGGGAGGGCCUCCCUCAGCCACACAUCAGACUCGUACCCUUUCACGCGACAUAUGCUUAGAGGCUUGUGUCUUAAAGCCUAGCUUCUCACCCCCCCCCCCCCUUGUUCUGGUGUUGUGUUGCCUUGCUGCAAUUUGUGGUGGUUUUGACCACCAUCUGAGACGUCUUGUUUUGUAGCGCUUUGUGUUGUAUUGCCUUGCGCAGCCCUGUCUUUGGCUGGGUAUUGCAUUGCGCUACUCUGUAUUCGUAUUGCUUGCCAACGGAGACUGCCUCGCGUUACGUGGGCCUGCGCUCUGCCUCGCCUUGCGCCGCUCUGCCUCACGUUACGUGGGCCCGUGCCCUGCCUUGCCCUGCGCCGCUCUGCCUUGCCGCUGCCUGCCAAUAGAGACUGUCUUGUGUUCAGUGACCCGGUCCUCUGUAUAGCGUUGCGCGGCUCUGUCUUUGUACUGCCUGCCAAUGGAGACUGUCUUGUGUUCAGCGACCCGGUCCUCUGUAUAGCGUUGCGCGGCUCUGUCUUUGGCUCUGUAUAGCGUUGCGCGGCUCUGUCUUUGGCUCUGUAUAGCGUUGCGCGGCUCUGUCUUUGUACUGCCUGCCAAUGGAGACUGUCUUGUGUUCAGCGACCCGGUCCUCUGUAUAUUGUUGCGCGGCUCUGUCUUUGUACUGCCUGCCAAUGGAGACUGUCUUGUGUUCAGCGACCCGGUCCUCUGUAUAGCGUUGCGCGGCUCUGUCUUUGGCUCUGUAUAGCGUUGCGCGGCUCUGUCUUUGUACUGCCUGCCAAUGGAGACUGUCUUGUGUUCAGCGACCCGGUCCUCUGUAUAUCGUUGCGCGGCUCUGUCUUUGUACUGCCUGCCAAUGGAGACUGUCUUGUGUUCAGCGACCCGGUCCUCUGUGUUGCGUUGCGCGGCUCUGUAUUGCGUUGUGUGGCCCUGUAUUUGUAUUGCCAGCCAUUUGAGACUGUCCAGUGUUACAUAGCACUGUGUUCAUGCAUGCUUUCUAUUUGGUUGUAUAUUGCAUCGCAGUGCUUGGCGUUGCCUGGUGUUCGGUAUGGCUCUUGUUGCAUUUGGGUGGUUGGGCAUUACAGAGCUGGCAUAGAGAGCGGCCCCAGCCCAGGAUGGUAAUCUGUCAGUACAGUCAGUUGGGGCGGAGGUCGUACGGGCCGUUUUGCGAGGCAGAGGGUAGUUGUCGGCCAGCCGGCCCUAGAGCCCUUCCGUUGUGGUUUUCAAGUGCCACGGCACGGUUUGGAUUCCCGCACGACACCCUCGAGUGAGGUUUUUGUGGAGUAUCCAAGCAACAGCGAAGGAGCGGUGCAGUUAGCAAGGCAUCUUCCCUGGUCCCUGCCUAUGAGCGCUAACUCUACAGAGUCAGGCGGAGCAGUGAUGGUGUCUUAAGGGACAGGGUGAGGCCGUUCCACAG